CAGAUGUGUUAUGUGCACCACAUGCCUGUCUGGUGUCAGUGGAUGUGUUGAAUCCUUUGGAACUGCAGUUACAGAUGGUUAUAUGCUGUGGAGUAUGACUUUAACUGUGUAAAGUGACACACAGCUGCUCAUUGUAGCACCAAUCUUCUACGUAAAAGGAUGAUGGAAAUAGAAGAACCUCCAUAUGGAGUUUGCUUUCAUUGCAGCAAAGCUAGCCAUUUGGGCAAGAAACUGUCCAUGCUUUGACGGUUGACAGUAUACUAUCCAAAGUGGAUAUGCAGGACACAAAGGAAAGUGACUGCUGAACUUUGCCAAGACAAAAUUCUGCUUCAUAGAAAAGUCUGCCAAAUGUUCUAGUCCUGUAGACCAAAGAUGGAUACCCCAAUAUUUCAGAGGAACCUUGAGUGACAAUCCAGGCAGCCAGAUGUCUCUGACAUUUCUUUAAUUUUGGAAGUUAUCUGCUAUGUAUUUCCUGUUUACUCAAAUAUUAUAAAAGGAAUGGCUGAAUUAAAGCAGCCUAGAUACCUUAGGGGGUCUUUGAUGGAGUUGAAGACGAGAUAGUUAUAGUUACAGUUUUCCUUAGUUAUGAUAGAAGGUAAAUUAGGUACAGAGCUUUGGACUCAUCAAGAUAGAAUAAAUAAUAAAGUGUUUUCUUUGAAUUUGUUAAAUAAAAAUGGACUGGAUAUUGUAAAUGUAAUUCUUACUAGAUAAUUAGUCCUAUUGUAAAUAGUCUUACUAUGUUAAAGUUCAAACCUUUCUUUUUAUUUAGAUAAAAAGGGGGAAAUAUUGUGGAAUAUUACUUUAACUAUGUAAAGAUGCAUUGCAUUUGCUUAUGUUGCAGAAUGUUACUUUAACUAGGCAAAUAUGUGCUACAUUUGUUUAUGCUGCAUUUGGUUAACUAUGUAAAGAUAUUUUACAGCUG